ensembl:lncRNA
CCUAUAGAGAUAGGCUGUUGAUGCAGAGCAGGGGAUGGUCUCUGAAGCAGUCAACAGUUACGGUGACCGACGAAGCAACCCAGAGUGGACUUCCUUCCUUCGACUGGACUCCACAAGGAACUGGAGCUUUGGUACCAGCAGCGGCCCCUUGCGCCCAUCUGCCUCCUCGAGGAGUGCAGACGAAUUUGGUACCACUGUCUUGGUCAAUAUACACAGAGAGAAAUAACAUACUGAACACCAAUAAACGCAACUUAACUGUCAGUUGACUUCCUACUUCCUAAGAGCUACAUCGAAAGCCAAAGGCAGUGUGUGCUUGAAUUAAAUCCGUUAUAACCAAAGAAGGGAUUUGAACAUGGAGUAAAGUUGGCUUGACUGCCUGUAUCCUGACCCCAUCAAGCAUGGAAUCACUACUAACAAAAUACGUGAAACAUGAUCAAAAACCCUGGAGGCUUAAGACAGCAACUCCAUUGACUCCAACAGGCACUUCAACAGAUUUUAACAGAUGUGAGAUGAAUGACACAAAAUAAAUAAAACCUAAUGUGAACAAUCAGCCACAAGAUGGCAUUUGAAUACUAAUGUAUUUAAAGUUUGGGGCAGUAACUUAAACACAUGGCUAUUUUAAUCUUUUCCCUUCCCCGGUCACUUUUUCUCAUAUUGCCAUGUAAGAAGAUCACAACUUUAUUUUCCCUGUAGCCUAAGUCUUAAACAUUUAUUUAUCAGCUUACUUUUAAUCUCUUGUGAUGGUUGAUUUUAUAUGUCAAUUUCACUGGGUCAUGAGGUGCUC